AUGGCGUUUCCAAGGAGCCCUGAUUCCAGUAUGAGCAGCUAUGCUUCUACUCUGACGCUGAGCAGCUGCCCCAGCUCCUACAUCUCCAUAGGCAGCAGCAAUCCAAGCUCAUUUACGGCCGUCGCAAUAAUCCCCACCGGUGCCGGUGAUCACAGCCCAGCACUAGCAGCCACAGGAGCUCCUGAAUUCAUACAGGGAAACAAGCUUCAGCAGCAUCAGGAUCCUCCGGAAUCAGAAGCAAAGUUCCCUAAGCAAGAAAUUAACGGCUGGGAGCAUCCAGACCUCUGUUGA
rnacentral:rRNA from 1 species